UUGACUGUCGUGUUUUAUGGUACACACACAGGAUGUUUAAACAAGAAAUGCCCCUCACCGAUAAAGGCGAUAGCUGUGGAGAAGCAAGCUCCGAUGUCUGCAGCUAGACUGUCCUCCACGUUGAGCCGAAGGUAUUGGAACUCCCCCUCGAAGAAGUUCGAACAUGAGGAGACGUUGAGGACAGCUGUGAUGCCCGCUGCUGUGAGGGUCUCUCUGCGUGACGAGUGGACGGCACUGCCCAGAAACAGGAAGGGAAGCAGCUCAACGGGACCGUCCUGUGGUGGACAAACACUCUUGUCAUUGUAGAGCUAUCACUUACGUCUUGUUUUAUAUUUGCCAUACUCCAUGUUUUAAUAUGAUCUAACCUGGUCGUAUGCAGGUGUGCUGCGUCCAGAGCUCACUGUCUCUGGUUCACCCGCACUGAGUUGUUUGCUGUAACAAAGUUCUGGGUAGGCCUCUGAAAAUCCCUCAAAUCCACCUGAAAAUUAGGUCAUGGAGUCAUUAAAUAAUCCACAAAUACAUCACAUCCUGUAUUUUAAGUUUUCAAGUGUGUGCAGAAGCAUGGUUCGUCGUUUGGUGCAUACAGUAUGCAAACAAAAUGUGGCCAAAAACGAUUCUAAUUUUCGUGUUACCUUGCAGGAAGCAAAUCUGCGUGUGCACUUCGUUUUGCAGGGCAGUUAGCAACAUCUGGCCCACGCUCUCCACCCUCAUCUUGGCGACAGAGCUGCUCCCAUCAUCCACCACCACCACCAGGCUGAAGUCCCCGCGCCGUAGCCGGCCCAGAAGCGCCUUAUCCGGGAUCAGCCACUCGAGGGCCACCUCGGUGCUCUUGGACCUGCGGCGCAGCACCGAGUUCCAGUUGACGUUCCGGGACUCACUUAUGUGUGCCAAGGAGAAGUCCAGGAAAGGUCUGCAGUCCAAAAGGACACAGCCAGCAGAUGUGGCGUUCUCCCUGAGAAUGCGGACUAACUCAUGACUGUUGAUUUCCAAAGGCUCACCAAGUGACGUCAUGUUUAAAAAAGUGGAGGGGGGCACAGCCAAGCAGGCCAAAGAAGUAAAACAAACAUCAGUGAGCACCGGUAUGCCCCUUGGUCGUCCAAGCGUAGCUGAUUUAACACCAUGAACGAGUCCUCCAUCACUACCAAGACUUUGAAGUCACUCUCACUGAGCUGGACACAGGCAGAAAAAUAUAGGAAGUGGAGAACUGGAGGUUGGGAAGAUGGUCAACAUAUGCUGCACUGCCGACUUGUGGUCAUUUGUCAUGGUUGGGUUUAUAUGGAAUAAAAAACAUGACGGAAAAUCAUUUGUUUAAACUUGCACAGUUCGAAGAAACAUUAUUGAAACCCUCAGCAAGGGUCUAUCAUAGACUCUCAAAUCAUAAGUGAUAUGCGAUAGAAACCAUACAAACUUGGCAUCUGAUUUUAAUUUGAUCACCCUAUUGCGAUAAUGCAUGUUGAUGACUCACCAGAGUAUCAGGCAAGAUAAAGAUUUUCCUUCACAUCAUGCCUUUUGUUAAGACAAUUUUUUAUUAUAGCAACAGUUUGCCCCUGAGACAGGGGUUGCCCAUCAUCUUAAAACAGAUUGUGUUGGACCUUAGAGAUAUAUACCUAACAAUGAUAGGAGACAAAUGAUGAAAAGUAUGAUGAUCAACUACAUAAAGAGUCAGUCAACCUUCCUGUCUUUUGGCACAGCAGGGGCCCAGGAGUAGUGGUACUCUCGGUUCCCCAACAGAAGAGAAUGCCAUGGCUGGUAACAGUCCAGUACAGCCUGACCUUCCUCUUCAGCCUUCACUGGGUAUUCUGCAUAAAGGGAAGGGAACGGAGGGGCAGUGGAGGCUCAAGAGAGGGGGGCUUUUGGACUAAUCUUUUUCAUUCACAUGGACAGGCAGUGCUGAGCACAUUCACACGCUCGUAUGCAUGUGAAGGACAGUACACCCCAUCCACACACAAACAGGAGUACGCACCGCCACAAUCCUCUUGGCCAGAUGGAGAUGGGCAGCUGUACAUCUUGUAGCGGCAUGUGAUACAAUCCAUUACUCUUCUGUUCAGGAGCCCUGAGAAGCACACAUUAUGCACUCACAUGACAAGACUCCAACGGUGAACUGUGUCGGUUUGCUUCAGCACCAACAGGGAGAAGGACUAAGCUCACCGCACUUGUUAGGGCACAAUCCUGAGGGACACACAAACGGAAGGACUGCAUCUCAUACCAAGGCAGGACAAUUAUAAAAUGACGUGCACUCGCUAAUGUUGACGCUAAUUACCCUGAUUGAUGAACGUAUCCAAGUGUUUAUUUAAGAUUGUCUUGCCUUUGUUCAUGAUACUAAUGGCUUCCACUGUGAUAGCGCCUGGGGGGAAAAGAGUGUUGUGUCAAAUCUGCUGGUUGGUUACUUGUGUAAAUAUGGUGGAACCUUUUAGGUGGAAAGCCAUGUUACAAAUCUGACACUACCUCAAGAGCCAGGGCGACUUUUAUUAUUAAAUCACUACCUUAACUUUGAUAACCAGUGAUGCUUAUUGUGAUUUUGGGGCAUUUUUCCCAUGAAUUGUCCAUAUUGUACAAUCUCAGCUGGCAUUCCACUAUAACUGUUCAUGCAUAGGAACAACUGUAAAAAGAUUGAGAUUGCUCACCACUGCGCUCCAGUGCCAACCAGCGCUUAAAUUCAUUCUGGUACUCCGUUUUGGCUUUGUAGAAGGUGGUGGGAUCUAAACAAUGAGGCACAGGUGGUUAAACACCAAGAAGGAAUACCGGUAUGCAGUAUCUCAAGGGAGGAACCAUUUUAUUAGAGCUUCUCAAGGGACACCACUAAAGAUAUGAAACAUGGACACAGUACGUAACUCAAGAGUAGUCAGUAUACAGCUUGUUUAGCAGUAUAUUUACUAUCCUUUGAAAAUGACUCAACACACGUCCAAAUUGUGUAAACUGUCAAUGUUUAGCGUGAGCACAAUUGUAAUUUAGCCCUGCCUUUAAUCAUCUUGGACAUGGAAUUCACCAGAGCUGCACAGGUUGUUACUGCAAUUCUCUUCCACUCCUUCAUGACGACAUCACUGGUAGAAUUGUUAAGUCACCUUCCUUCCGCUUGAGGAUGCCCCACGGGUACUCAGUUGGGUUCAGGUCGAGAGACUUUUCAUCUUAGAGGUGUGUUUGGGCUCGUUCUACUUCACAAUAUCCCAGUACAUAUUGGAAUUUUUGUUUCCGUCACUCAAUCGCAGUUCCCCGGUGCUGGCCGGUAGCACUCAUGCAGCCCCAGACUAUCACGGUACCACCACCAUGCUUGACUGUAGGCAAGUCACAUUCAUCUUGGUACUCACUUGUGUUGCCGGAUAUUUAGGCAAUUAUGGCUGUGUGUUGACUCAAUUUCAGUGGAUAAUAAAUCUAUAAAGUCGUCCCUCGUUUAUCGCGCUUAAUUGGUUCCAGACUAGGCCGCCAUAAGUGAAUUUCAGAGAUGUAGGACUCAAUACUGUAGUAAUAGAAUAUUUUCAUAGUUCCAGCAUAGAAAACCAGUUUAUGACUUUCUAAAUAAGAUCUUUUACCAUUAUUAGCCCUGUAGACAUGAAAUAACACCCCUAUAGUC